GACUCCUACGGGAGGCAGCAGUGGGGAAUUUUGGACAAUGGGCGAAAGCCUGAUCCAGCAAUGCCGCGUGUGUGAAGAAGGCCUUCGGGUUGUAAAGCACUUUUGUCAGGAAAGAAAUCCCUAGGGCUAAUACCUCAAGGGGAUGACGGUACCUGAAGAAUAAGCACCGGCUAACUACGUGCCAGCAGCCGCGGUAAUACGUAGGGUGCAAGCGUUAAUCGGAAUUACUGGGCGUAAAGCGUGCGCAGGCGGUUUCGUAAGACAGAUGUGAAAUCCCCGGGCUCAACCUGGGAACUGCAUUUGUGACUGCGAGGCUAGAGUGUGUCAGAGGGAGGUGGAAUUCCGCGUGUAGCAGUGAAAUGCGUAGAGAUGCGGAGGAACACCGAUGGCGAAGGCAGCCUCCUGGGAUAACACUGACGCUCAGGCACGAAAGCGUGGGGAGCAAACAGGAUUAGAUACCCUGGUAGU
rnacentral:rRNA from 1 species